rnacentral:rRNA from 1 species
UACGGGGGGAGCAAGCGUUGUUCGGAUUUACUGGGCGUAAAGGGCGCGUAGGCGGCCACCGCAAGUCGACUGUGAAAUCUCCGGGCUUAACCCGGAAAGGUCAGCCGAUACUGCGGGGCUAGAGUGCAGAAGGGGCAACUGGAAUUCUCGGUGUAGCGGUGAAAUGCGUAGAUAUCGAGAGGAACACCUGCGGCGAAGGCGGGUAGCUGGGCCGACACUGACGCUGAUGCGCGAAAGCCAGGGAGCGAACGGG